rnacentral:snoRNA from 1 species
CAUUGUAAUGAUGUUUUCAUCUUUCGGGACUGAUCCUAUUGAGGACAAAACCUUAGCUGAACAAUU